UACAAAUAGUACAAGUGUUAUGCGGCAGUAUUGGGCGUAAAGCGCGCGCAGGCGGUCCUUUAAGUCUGAUGUGAAAGCCCACGGCUCAACCGUGGAAGGUCAUUGGAAACUGGGGGACUUGAGUGCAGAAGAGGAAAGUGGAAUUCCAAGUGUAGCGGUGAAAUGCGUAGAGAUUUGGAGGAACACCAGUGGCGAAGGCGACUUUCUGGUCUGUAACUGACGCUGAGGCGCGAAAGCGUGGGGAGCAAACAGG
rnacentral:rRNA from 1 species